AUUUGACGUUAGCGACAGAAGAAGCACCGGCUAACUCCGUGCCAGCAGCCGCGGUAAUACGGAGGGUGCGAGCGUUAAUCGGAAUUACUGGGCGUAAAGCGCAUGCAGGUGGUUUGUUAAGUCAGAUGUGAAAGCCCGGGGCUCAACCUCGGAAUAGCAUUUGAAACUGGCAGACUAGAGUACUGUAGAGGGGGGUAGAAUUUCAGGUGUAGCGGUGAAAUGCGUAGAGAUCUGAAGGAAUACCGGUGGCGAAGGCGGCCCCCUGGACAGAUACUGACACUCAGAUGCGAAAGCGUGGGGAGCAAACAGGAUUAGAUACCCUGGUAGUCCACGCCGUAAACGAUGUCUACUUGGAGGUUGUGGCCUUGAGCCGUGGCUUUCGGAGCUAACGCGUUAAGUAGACCGCCUGGGGAGUACGGUCGCAAGAUUAAAACUCAAAUGAAUUGACGGGGGCCCGCACAAGCGGUGGAGCAUGUGGUUUAAUUCGAUGCAACGCGAAGAACCUUACCUACUCUUGACAUCCAGAGAACUUUCCAGAGAUGGAUUGGUGCCUUCGGGAACUCUGAGACAGGUGCUGCAUGGCUGUCGUCAGCUCGUGUUGUGAAAUGUUGGGUUAAGUCCCGCAACGAGCGCAACCCUUAUCCUUGUUUGCCAGCACUUCGGGUGGGAACUCCAGGGAGACUGCCGGUGAUAAACCGGAGGAAGGUGGGGACGACGUCAAGUCAUCAUGGCCCUUACGAGUAGGGCUACACACGUGCUACAAUGGCGCAUACAGAGGGCGGCCAACUUGCGAGAGUGAGCGAAUCCCAAAAAGUGCGUCGUAGUCCGGAUCGGAGUCUGCAACUCGACUCCGUGAAGUCGGAAUCGCUAGUAAUCGUGGAUCAGAAUGCCACGGUGAAUACGUUCCCGGGCCUUGUACACACCGCCCGUCACACCAUGGGAGUGGGCUGCAAAAGAAGUAGGUAGUUUAACCUUCGGGAGGACGCUUACCACUUUGUGGUUCAUGACUGGGGUGAAGUCGUAACAAGGUAGCGCUAGGGGAACCUGGCGCUGGAUCACCU
rnacentral:rRNA from 1 species